rnacentral:lncRNA from 1 species
AAUAAGGACAAGUGAUGUCUUGGUGCUUACAUGGCCAGAUUAUUGCCCAAUCACCAGCCCACGUGGCAGGCUUAGUCAGAUUAGGACUGUUGACAUCUUUAAUCAGUUUUGUUCCUUCAAAUUUUUUCUAGUCACAUUUGGUCCUUCUCUUCCCAACCAUCACCCACUUCCACAACUACCUCCUAGCCACCACCCAAACUACCAUCCCCCACUUCACCAAACCUUUCCCCACCACC